rnacentral:rRNA from 1 species
GGUAGUCCACGCCGUAAACGAUGUCGACUUGGAGGUUGUGCCCUUGAGGCGUGGCUUCCGGAGCUAACGCGUUAAGUCGACCGCCUGGGGAGUACGGCCGCAAGGUUAAAACUCAAAUGAAUUGACGGGGGCCCGCACAAGCGGUGGAGCAUGUGGUUUAAUUCGAUGCAACGCGAAGAACCUUACCUACUCUUGACAUCCAGAGAACUUAGCAGAGAUGCUUUGGUGCCUUCGGGAACUCUGAGACAGGUGCUGCAUGGCUGUCGUCAGCUCGUGUUGUGAAAUGUUGGGUUAAGUCCCGCAACGAGCGCAACCCUUAUCCUUUGUUGCCAGCGGUUCGGUCGGGAACUCAAAGGAGACUGCCAGUGAUAAACUGGAGGAAGGUGGGGAUGACGUCAAGUCAUCAUGGCCCUUACGAGUAGGGCUACACACGUGCUACAAUGGCGCAUACAAAGAGAAGCGACCUCGCGAGAGCAAGCGGACCUCAUAAAGUGCGUCGUAGUCCGGAUUGGAGUCUGCAACUCGACUCCAUGAAGUCGGAAUCGCUAGUAAUCGUAGAUCAGAAUGCUACGGUGAAUACGUUCCCGGGCCUUGUACACACCGCCCGUCACACCAUGGGAGUGGGUUGCAAAAGAAGUAGGUAGCUUAACCUUCGGGAGGGCGCUUACCACUUUGUGAUUCAUGACUGGGGUGAAGUCGUAACAAGGUAACCGUAGGGGAACCUGC